rnacentral:rRNA from 1 species
CAGCCUGCCCAGUGAUAAAAAUUCAACGGCCACGGUAUCCUAACCGUGCGAAGGUAGCAUAAUCACUUGUUCUUUAAAUAGGGACUUGUAUCAACGGCAUCACGAGGGUUAUACUGUCUCCUUUCUCUAAUCAGUGAAAUUAAUCUCCCCGUGAAGAAGCGGGGAUAUACCUAUAAGACGAGAAGACCCCAUGGAGCUUCAAACCCAACUACACCCCUAACUCCUAUAACCACUGAGCCCUAAGAGUCCUGUAUCGUUGGUUUUAGGUUGGGGCGACCACGGAGUACAACAAAACCUCCACAACGAACGGGAUUACUCCCUCAUCUAAGAACUACACCUCUAAGAAUUAGUAGACUAACAUAAAAUGACCCAUUUUUGAUCAAUGAACCAAGUUACCCCGGGGAUAACAGCGCAAUCCAUUUCAAGAGCCCUUAUCGACAAAUGGGUUUACGACCUCGAUGUUGGAUCAGGGUAUCCUAGUGGUGCAGCAGCUACUAACGGUUCGUUUGUUCAACGAUUAAAACCCU